rnacentral:rRNA from 1 species
CCUACGGGUGACAGCAGUGGGGAAUAUUGCACAAUGGGCGAAAGCCUGAUGCAGCAACGCCGCGUGAGCGAUGAAGGCCUUCGGGUCGUAAAGCUCUAUCCUCAAGGAAGAUAAUGACGGUACUUGAGGAGGAAGCCCCGGCUAACUACGUGCCAGCAGCCGCGGUAAUACGUAGGGGGCUAGCGUUAUCCGGAAUUACUGGGCGUAAGGGGUGCGUAGGUGGUUUCUUAAGUCAGAGGUGAAAGGCUACGGCUCAACCGUAGUAAGCCUUUGAAACUGGGAAACUUGAGUGCAGGAGAGGAGAGUGGAAUUCCUAGGGUAGCGGUGAAAUGCGUAGAGAGUAGGAGGAACACCAGGGGCGAAGGCGGCCUACUGGACGGUGACUGACGCUGAGGCUCGAAAGCGUGGGGAGCAAACAGGAUUAGAUACCCCUGUAGUC